rnacentral:rRNA from 1 species
AUGGCCAUCCCAAAAGCUUUGAUCCUUGGCAUCCUUGGAUGCGUCUGCUUUUGCAGUUCGGUCCUAGCAGCUCGUGAGCUCAGCGACGACUUGUCGAUGGUGGCAAGGCACGAGAGCUGGAUGGUGCAGUACGGCCGUGUGUACAAGAAUGAUGUUGAGAAGGCGCAACGAUUCGGGGUGUUCAAGGCCAAUGUCGGGUUCAUCGAGUCGUUUAAUGCCAAGAACCACAAGUUCUAUUUGGGCAUCAAUCAGUUCGCCGGCCUAACCAACGAGGAGUUCAAGGCGACAAAAGCUAACAAGGGUUUUGUCAGUACUUUAAUGAGUGUUGCACUAGUAGAGAUGCCUACCGGAUUCAGGUAUGAGAAUGUAAGUUUCGAUGCACUUCCGGCAACCGUAGACUGGAGAACGAAAGGAGCAGUCACCUCCAUCAAGGAUCAGGGCCAAUGUGGUUGUUGUUGGGCUUUUUCUGCUGUCGCUGCUACAGAGGGCGUCGUUAAGCUCUAAACCGGCAAGCUUAUCUCGUUGUCUGAGCAAGAACUUGUGGAUUGUGAUGUCCACGGUGAAGACCAAGGUUGCGAAGGUGGGCUUAUGGAUGAUGCCUUCAAGUUCAUAAUCAAGAAUGGCGGUCUCACAACUGAGUCCAACUACCCAUAUACCGCGGCAGAUGACAAGUGCAAAAGUGGAACGAAUGGUGCCGCAACCAUCAAAAGCUAUGAGGAUGUUCCAGCCAACAACGAGGGAGCUCUCAUGCAAGCUGUCGCAAGCCAACCCGUCUCAGUGGCUGUAGAUGGAGGAGAUAUGACCUUCCAAUUUUACAAAGGUGGAGUGAUGACAGGCUCCUGUGGCACAGACCUGGACCAUGGUAUUGCGGCUAUUGGUUAUGGCAAGACCAGCGAUGGCACAAAGUAUUGGUUGUUGAAGAAUUCAUGGGGAACAACAUGGGGCAAGAAUGGUUAUUUAAGAAUGGAGAAGGACAUUCCCGACAAGAAAGGCAUGUGUGGCCUUGCGAUGGAGCCUUCUUACCCCACUGCAUAG